GCGGGUGUAGCUCAGCUGGCUAGAGCGCAACCUUGCCAAGGUUGAGGCCGAGGGUUCGAAUCCCUUCACCCGCUCCA
rnacentral:tRNA from 1 species